rnacentral:lncRNA from 1 species
CAGUGUAGAUACAAGCAAAGAACAAUAACUUCCAGUCCUCAUCUUGAAAACAAGGUGUGGUUUUAUCAUAUAGAUGCCAUGUCAUUUUAGAUCUUCCUUGCAGAGCCGCAUACUGAAUAGGAGUAUAUCCAUUUCCAGCCCUUUUUACAGGUAAUUGUGAGUUCCUAUCCAACAGUAAGUCAACAAUUUCAAUGUUUCCAGCUGCCGCAGCAUAGCAAAAAGCGGUGUUUCCGAUCUUAUCUUGCAAUGUUAUAUCAUUCUCAUCAAGCAUCUUCAAUAGCUCCUUCACAAAGUGAAUGUGGUUUGCACCUGCAGCGAUAUGCAGUAGAGUAGGAUACCCAUUUGUUAUGGCAGCAUUUUUGAGCCUGUUCUCGUUGUCUAAGAUGUGUUUGGCUGCUCGCCAGUUUCCAUGUAGAGCAUGCUUGUAAAUUGGAACACAAAGGUUGAGAAAGCUAUCAUUUCCUAAAACAAAGGUUCAAUUGAAGUUAAAGAGAGUAAUAUAAUUCUAUUGCCAUAAUAUUAAACUCACCUACAUCACUGGAGAACCAUUCAAUGUAAUGAAAACAGAAUCAAAGUUUUACUAUUCUUUGAAUUCCACUAAUAUCAAUAAUUUUUCAAGAUUUCUCCCUAAAAAAAGAAAAAAAAAAUUCACGAUUUCCUUGCUUCUUGUCUUUAAAAGGAGCUGUGGAAAGCCUAUUGUCGCUGUGAAAGUUGUGUGAGGCUGUUGAGUAUACGAUGUUUUUGAUCUCGGAAGUUUAGUGAGAAAAAUAGGGCACUGAUAUUAAGAGGAUAUUAAGAGUGGGAAUAGAUCGGGCCGAGUUGGAGUCUGCUUAAAUAGGUCAGACCUAGUUGAUAAAACUAAAGCUUAAGUCUAACAUAUUAGCCUCUCAAAGGCUUUAGUUUAAACCUGGUCUAGCCUUUUUAAAAUUUGGCCUGGCCUAUUGGUUUGUAUAAAAGCCUAAUUUAUACUAACAACUAUUUUAAAUAUAACAUUUGAUCUAUUUUUUUUUUUUUUAAGAAACAUUUGAUCUAUUUUUAAAAAGGCUAAUAAACAUAUAUUUUUUAAAAGGCUAAUACACAGUAUAUAUAAUUACACAUAUGUGGGUCGGACUGAUAUGCCUAGGAAGCUUUUCUAUAACCCUUAGACUGACCUAUUUAAAUUAUUGUGCUUUUUAAAAAGCUUGAGCCUAACCUAUUUAAUAGAUGAGUAAGGCCGAACUGGCCUUUAAGUAGGUCGGGACAUAGACCCCUGACGAACGAACUGACCUAUUUCGACCCUAAACUGAUAUAAAGCAAACAUUUUAGAAAAGAAAGAGAAAUGUUUAUGGCCAAAUUUAUUUUGUGUGUAACCUUUUGAUUGCUUGUGACAAAAAUUGAUGUGUUGGUCACCUGACCACACUAGAAUAGAGAGAUUAUUUAGGAAACUCUCUGUUUUUUGAUCUCCUAUAUCUCAUCUCUAUGUGGAGUAGCUUAGCUUGCUCUUCCUUUGGUUUUGGUUUCCAUGAGGGAGGGAGGUUUAUUUGUUUUGUUCUUUUGGCGUUGUGGUUGUUUUGAGUUUUUUCUGGUGGUGGUGUUGGUGCUUUUUUGUUUUUGUUAAGGGGGUCGGUCCUUCCUUCCUUUGUCUUCAAUUUUGUGGUGUUGUUGUUUUAGUUUUUAUGCCAGUGUAGCAGGUGUUUCUAUUUAUUUUGAUCAAAUAGUUUAAAGGUUAGAAAUUCAUCAUUAAAGCGAAUAAGUCGGGAAUCCGGAUUCGAAUCUUGGUCCAUCAUAUAUUAUGCGUCAAGAGAGGUCUAUAUCAUAAUAUAAAAUAGAGGGGGUGUGAGUGACAUUUCAACAUACAUCAGGGGAGGUCAUUGUAAUUUCCCCUUUAUUAAAAUGAUAUAUUUUACAAGGGUAUAUUUCAAACAGAAAAAUUUACAGGGAACAAAUUUUAAACUCGUUAUUCCAAAAAAAAAAUUAGACUCGAUGUAUUUUUGCAGGGAUCAAAGACAUAUUUUAGCAACAAUUUAUUUUCAUUAACUCUUCUAUUACAGAUUUAUGAAUUCUAUUUUAAUAUGUAGUAAUAUUAAUAUUUCUAAAGUAAAAUAUUAUGAUAACGAAUGAAUAAAAUUGUGUUUCUUUCUUAGGAGAUCGCGGAAUGAUAUUUGUACAACCAAUUUUGUACAACCUUUGUGACAAACAUUUUUUCUCUAUUUUUAUUGGACAAAAACAAUAGAGAGAGAAAGUAAAAGAGAGAAUAAAAAAACAUGUGAGUAUGAUAGAGAGGGUUGUUUCAAAAGUUGUCAAAAAAUGGUUGUACACAAUACAUAUAUCAUUUCUCUAAUUUAUAAGUACAAAAUAAUUUGAGAGAGAGAGAAUCAUACUUUGUUCCUCUAAAAACUCAGGGUUAGGCAUGUUGUUGAGUAGAAAUGAUGCAGGCAUUAUUUGCACUCCUGGCGGUGAUAUUUGAGGACUAGAACUGGGAAGAGGAUGGAUAUCGGAUGUCGUCACUUCCCUGUCAAAGACAUCGUAUAUUUUAAAAUGUUUAAUACAAGAAAAUAUUGCAAUAAUGUAUUAAACAUUAAUAUAUGUUAGCAAAUAUGGGUGUAAUAUGUUUAAGUUUUUGAACAAAAAUUGAAUGUAUGAAACACUUAACUUGUCGAGCUCCUCCCACAUUUCCUUUGCCGUAUGGCAACUUGAAAUUCUUCUUAGAUCAUCUGGGUUUAAGGCACAAUAUAAAAUAUUUUUGGCUUUUGCUUCUCGUUCCAUGAUCUUCUUAUCUUCAUCAUUGAAUUCAUCUUCAGAUUUCUCCAACUCUUCACCAUGUAUUAUUUUUUUUGGAAUUUUCGGUCCAUUCUUAAUCACAAGCCAAAGAUCGAAGUCAACGGAUUGUAUGAAUAUCUUUAUACGCUCCUUCCACUCAGUACAAUUUGUUGUACCAUCGAAGUAUGGUGGCUUUGAAAUGGAUCUCCCUUCCACGAUCAUUGUGUCCAUACUUCUUUAAUUGUAUUGCCUUCAAUUUAUGUUUCCUCGUUAAUUAAGUCUAGCUUUUUUAUGGCUGCUAUUGGAGUGCUUGUAUGUUGAAAGUAUUAUGCAUCUAGGUUGGGGAAGCCGAUUGGAAAUGUUAGUGUUUUUUGGUUUUGACUAUUGAGUUUAUUUUUGGUGUUUUUUUGGGUCUUGUAGGGAGUGGUAGGUUGGCCGUUUGAACAUGGUGCUUUUGUCCUUUUGGUUGUUUUCUUGCUAUGCCCUAUGGAGAUGGUGUUGGUGGGUGUCUUAAUAAAAAAAAAAAAAAACAUUGAAGGCCCUUAAUAAAUUUAUUUUCUCGUUGGCCUCAAGUAUAUGAUUCUUAAUGACAAAGAUUCCCUCCUCCUUACAUGGACACAUCAUUACCAAAUUUUUAUAUCCCUCAAAAAAAUAAUUACCAAAUUUUUAUAGACCAUUUAAGGUUAUCUUCAUUUUUUCUUUAAAGUAGAUAGAAACAUCUUCAUUUAUAUAGUUUUGUUUGUAUACUAGUAAGUGUCGCUUGGUCAAUAUUUAAAAUGAAAAAGAAACAUUGAAAAGCUAAAAUAUUUUGUCGAUCUAUAAUAGAGUAACUUGAAUCCUUUAUCAGACUAUAGAAACUAAUAAAUAUUCAAGACAUUUGCGAGGAGUGUGAAGGAGAAACAAAGACUAUAAUAUAAAAUUAAAGAGCACAGCUCAAGAGUUGGUUGAAGCAAGUGAUGAUGCACAACAAAAAUUUAUACACACGGUUAUCAUGGAUAGGACAAUAGCCCGUAAUAAAAAAUUUAAUCUACCUUUCAUGUACAAAAGUGUAGAAACAUAUUUUUAACUACACGAAAUUUGCUUGUUCAAAAAAAAAACUACACGAAAUUUGCCGUAUAGCAAUGGCAAAAACCUUUGGUAAAGGUCAAAAAACCGUUGGUAUAGAUCAUAAAAUCUAUAUCAACGGACACUUGCUGCCGUCUACAAUAAUUAGCUUAUACCAACAACCAAAUUCCUUCCCAAUAGCCUAUACCAUCUGAAAAUUAGGGAAUCGGAAAAAAUCUCUGUGCUAUAGCAACGACUUUUUACACCAUUUAAUAGCUUUUAGCCACCACGUAAUCCGUUGGUAUAGGACCAGACUAUCCGUUGCUAAAAAUCUGCUUCUUCUCUGUUUUUUUUUACAAAUAAUAUUUCGUCUAAAUGAAAUAUUUUUUAAUAAGAAAAAUUUUACACUGCUUUUUAAAUGCACCACACUAUUUAAAGCAAAAUAAAAGAAAAUUUCAAUUAUAUUUUCAAAUUAAAAGUUCUUACAAACAUGUGAAUCUAACAAGUCAGAACAUAUUAAACUAACAAAGUUGGGUUUUAUAUAAUAAUAACAUUAACCACCAUCAGUUCCCGUGAAUUUAACUAAGUUUGUAAGGACAAUGCAUAAUAUACGUAAGGUUCGAGGUUUGAACUUCGGACACCAUAAAAAAAUAAUAACCACCACCACACUCCUUUUGAAAAAGAGGUCGUAAUAAGCUGUUUCGCAAAAAUAAGCUGUUUUGAAUAAGCUUAUUUUGAAAAGGGGUCGUAUUAAGUUGUUUUGGAUAAAUAAGCUGUUUUGAAUAAGCUGAUUUUUUGAAAAGAGAUUGUAAUACGUUGUUUUGCAUAAAUAAGCUAUUUUGAAUAAGUUGUUUUUGAAAACGAGAUCGUAUUAAGUUGUUUUCCAUAAAUAAGCUAUUUUUUGAAAAGAGGUCGUAAUAAGCUGUUGUUAGAGCUGUCAAAACGGGCGGCCCGACCCGUUUAGGCUCGGCCCGAACGGGCAACGGGCUUUUGAGGGCCGGGCUAAAAUCCCGGUUUAAAUAUGGGCCUAAAAAAUAGAGCCCGAGCCCGGCCCUAUACGGGCUCCCGGGCUAACGGGCCAGCCCUGGCCCGUAUUUUUUUUUCCUUUUCCAUUCUUUUACGUACUGAACAUAUAAAAUACAUAAAUAUACCGGGCUAACGGGCCAGCCCGGGCCCGUAUAUGUUUUUAGCAAUAUAAAGGAUCUAAGGAACUGCAGCCAAAGCCGCUGAAAUUGUAUAGUGAAUGGAAAAAUUUCAUAUGCUAAUAGUGAAUUUUAAGAAAGUUAUGCCUAUGUGGGUUUCUUGCAAUUUGUGUAAUAAAAAUCACAUAUUCUGAAUUCACACAGCCAAUAUUAAUUUUUAUUCAAACAAUCCUAAAUGAAUUUGUGUUGUCAUGAGGAUUCUGCUACAUAAUUAUGCAGGAUAGGUGCCAAUGUGGUGGGAAUGGAUACAACUAGAGGUGAACAUAUGGGUGGGGAAAUGUGGUAUAAAGAGGCAACAAUAUGUAACCGUGUAUUAGACAGUGGGUGAAGUUAAGCACCAAUGAUUCUUUGUAAUGUAGCAUUAUGUGCUACUCUCAUAUUUGGUGAGCAUUAUGUAAACAAACACAGCAGAAUGUAUAAAUAAACACAGCAGCAGAAUAUCAGAUUCUUUCACACCAAAAAUUGGGCCGGAUCCUAAUAUUGGGUUGGACGGUCCAGGUCCAACAGACACCACACCAAAAAUGACCCACUCUUAAUUUUUUGCGGGCUGCCCGUGGCCCGAACGGGCUAGCCCUAACAGGCUCCGGGCUUUUUCGGGGCGGGCUAAAAAGCCCUGGAAAAAUUCGGGCUGCAAUUAUUAGGCCCAAGCCCUAUAUUUUAUUCGGGCUUUCGGGCCGGCCCAUAAUGGGCCGUUUUGACAGCUCUAGCUGUUGUGGAUAAAUAAGCUAUUUUGAAUAUGUUGUUUUUGAAAUAGAGGUCAAAUUAAGUUGUUUUGCAAAAAUAAGUUAUUUUGAAUAAGCUCUUGUGGAUAAAUAAGAUGUUUUGAAUUUGCAUUUUUUGAAAAAGAGGUCAUAAUAAGCUGUUUUGGAUAAAUAAGUUUAUUUGAAUAUGUUGUUUUUGAAAAAGAGGUCGUAUUCAGUUGUUUUGCAUAAAUAAGCUAUUUUGAAUAAGCAGUUUUUUGAAAAGAGGUCGUAAUAAGCUGUUUUACAUAAAUAAGCUGUUUUUGAAUAAGAGGUCGUAUUAAUCUGUUUUCCAUACAUAAGUUGUUUUGAAUAAGUUGUUUUUUGAAAAGAGGUCGUAAUAAGCUGUUGUGGAUAAAUAAGCUGUUUUGAAUUUGUAUUUUUUGAAAAAGAGGUCAUAAUAAGCUGUUUUGGAUAAAUAAGCUGUUUUCGAUAUGUUGUUUUUGAAAAAGAGGUCGUAUUAAGCUGUUUUGCAUAAAUAAGCUGUUUAAAUAAGCUGUGUUUUGAAAAGAGGUCGUAAUAAGUUAUUUUACAUAAAUAAGUUGUUUUUGAAAAAGAGGUCGUAUUAAUCUGUUUUCCAUAAAUAAGUUGUUUUGAAUAAGUUGUUUUUUGAAAAGAGGUCGUAAUAAGCUGUUUUUGGAUAAAUAAGCUGUUUUGAAUAAGUUGUAUUUUGAAAAAAGAGAUCGUAUUAGGCUGUUUUGCAUAAAUAAUUUGUUUUGAAUAAAUUGUUAUUGAAAAAGAGGUCGAAAUAAGUUGUUUUGGAUAAAUAAGCUGUUUUGAAUAAGCUGUUUUUUUUUAAAAGAGGUUGUAAUAAGUUGUUUUGCAUAAAUAAGCUGUUUUUGAAAAAGAGGUCUUAUUAAGUUGUUUUCCCUAAAUAAGUUGGUUUUUGAAAAGAGGUCAUAAUAAGCUGUUGUGGAUAAAUAAAUUAUUUUGCAUAUAUAAGCUGUUUUGAAUAAGCUGUUUUUUGAAAAGAGGUCGUAAUAAGUUUUUUUUUUUUGCAUAAAUAAGUUGUUUUUGAAAAAUAGGUCCUAAUAAUAAGCUGUUUUGCAUAAAUAAGUUGUUUUUGAAAAAGGGAUCGUAAUAAGUUGUUUUGGAUAAAUAAGUUGUUUUGAAUAUGUUGUUUUUUGAAAAGAGAUCGUAAUAAGCUCUUUUGGAUAAAUAAGCUCUUUUGAAUAAGUUGUUGUUUUUGAGAAAGAGAUCGUAUUAAGAUGUUUUGAAAGAAAGAUCGUAAUAAUUUGGUCAUGACUAAAAUUGGAUUUUUUUAAAUUAUUAUGAAGGCAAAAUUGUCAAUUUGUAUGUUUAACCCCCUAAAAUCCCAAAUUUCGGGGAACUUUAAAAUUGGAUGAAGCCCUUCAAAACCCCUCCAAUUUCGGGGAACCUUUACCACUCCAUAAGUCUUCCCUCCACCAAAAACCCAACUCGCAAACAAGCCUUUAAGAAUUGAAAGAUUUACAGGAAAAUGGGUACUUGAUGAAGCCAUGAUCGCAACAAAGAGAAUGUUCCCAAGAAAGAAACCUUGCUCACUAAUACCAAUUUUCGCUGGAACAAGCUCUCACUUGCAUGAAUCACACACUGGUUCUACAAUCACUCACAAAAGAGAGGAUUAUAGAAUGAAGUUGGUUUAGGACAUAGAAAAUGGACCAAAUGAUUUCUCAAAUUUUAUUAAAAUAUUGCACACUUUGAUCCAUACAUUGAGUCUUAUUUAUACACCCAUACACACUUUGAUCAAUACAUUCGAGUCUUAUUUAUACACGCAUAAUAGUUGCAACAAACUGAAAAUAGAAAACUAACUGUUAUUAACAAACUAACUAACCAACAACCUGGAAUUAAUAUCAUAAUACAACAAACAAACAAACAAACAAACAGUAGAAUUUGCUGCUUCUGUAAAUUUUCAUUCCAUGUGAAAUUUCCACAAGCGAACGAUCCUGCAAUUUUUUUUUAAAAUUAUUAUAAAUAACUCAAUGCAAAAUAUAUAGGUUGAAUAAUUAAAUAUAAUAAGACACUCCUAAAAUUAGUUGAAAUUUUUAAAAUAAUUUUUCAAACGAAAAAACAUUAUGAAUACUUGAACUAAUAAAAAAACCGUAUAGUUGAGUCUUUGUAUUUUCAUUAGGUUCCUCAGCUUUUUUUUUUUUUUUUUUUUUAUUAAACCAAUCAAGUUUAGGCCGUUUCUUUAAAAUUAAUGAAAAUAAAUAUAUUUCUGAUCUUCAAGUUAUAUUUGUGUGUAUGUUUUUUAUUUUACUAUUUUGUUAGAAAAUUGAUUUUUUAUCCUAAAAACUCUUUUAUUUAAUUUUUUAAAAAUAAUUUUUAAUCAAAGGUGAGAAUACAAAAUCUCAUUUUAUAAUUUUAAAAAACACAAAUUGACACUUUUAUUUAAAAAACACUAAAUCAUUUAUAUCAAAAUCACUUUCUAUAAUGAAUGAGCACUAAAAUAUCAAAAAUGAUUUUUUAGAUAAUAUAUUGGGUUAACAUUAAAGAACAUCGGUCUGAUGUCUAAUACAUUUAACUCCUAAAAAUACUUGAUAUUAAUGUGUGGAAACCACAUGGAAUCUAUGUAAACAAGUAGAUUCAAGUAAGAAAUAUUGUCAAUGUAAAGGAUUUUUAUAUUAUCAAAUCAUAAUCCUCAAUUUGUUAAAAACAUUUUAACUUUAAUCAUAAUUUUUCAAAAGUCACACUUAUGAUUAGUUUAUGAUUUACUUAAGUGUAAGACUUUUUACAUUAUUGCUGUAUAGAAAUUAAAUUUAAAAAUUUAGUAGGGUGAGUUGAUUUUACCCUAUCAAUUUUUUCGUUUAAUAUAAAAUCAAAACAAAUGUAUUUUCUUCCAAACAAAUUAAAUUUUAGUUCAAUGUAACAAGUAAUAAGUUCUUAAAGCUAAGUUAAAUUUACGUAGUUAAUUUGUUAAGUUUAUUCAAAAUCAAAUAUUUAGAUGAUCUUAAGUUUAUUCAAAAUAAAAUAUUUUAGAGGUAAAUUUACGGUAGUUAAUUUGUUAAGACAAAUGAAAUCUGUUAGUAACACUUGAAUCCUUAGUUAGAUAAUGCUACUUCUUUGGUGACUAAUUUCAAAAUCAUUAUAUUUUAUAUUUUUAAGUUUAAAAUUUUUUAAAAAAAUUAAAACAUCCAAAAUAUAAGUUCAAUAUCAAAUGGUUAACAAUUGAGAUAAGUAUUGCAUUAUGCAAAAGUUUUUUUUUUACUAUUUGAUCAAUAAAUCGUAUCAUGAGAUUAAAUGAGAUAUAUGAUGAAACUUAACUUAAUGAUUCAAAUAAUAAAAACCACAUUUGUGCAUUAUUCAAGAUAAGUUUACGUGUGUAUAUUAGACAAAGCUCAUAUAUAUAUCAUCGUGGACUUAGCUCAGUUAGUAUGGAUAAUGCAUAAUAUAUGCAAGGUUCGGCAUAAUAUAUACACACACACUCGCACACGCAUAGGAGAGAAAAAUCAAAUACAAUCGUGUCUUGAUACCUGUUGGCCUAAUCAUUUAUAGUUGCUAUAAGACAUAGAAUCUUGAGUACUUAGUGUCUGAGAUUUUUGAGAACUAGAAUUUGCCUCAGGAGGAGGAUGCGAAUAGCUCAUAUGUUUCAUUUGGUCUGAGACUUCAUUUUUCUUAGCAUCAUUCGAAUUCGUAUUUGUGGGAGGAUCUUCCGAAUAGCUCAUACCAUUAUUUGUUGAACUCAUUUUUGUAUUUUUUUAUGCUAAUACAAAUAUUAUGUUUAAGCAAAACGAGGUAGAUAUUAAUGUAUUUAUAACCUUAGAAUGCUUGCUGCAUUAUACAAAGUAAUGUACCAUGCAAUUCCAUCGUAAGUUUUGGCAAAAUUCAUUUAAACAUUUUAAAGACCACACGUAACAAAGUUUAGUAGAGGUUUUAAUGCCAUGAGCUGAGUCAAAAUGAUUUAAAUAAUUAGUGCUUAAAUUGCAAUGUCACCCUUCUUGUUUUUCUUUUUUUCUUUAUAAAAAAAAAUUGGUGAAUGAGAAAUUUUUAUUAAUAGCUAUGAAAAUGACAUUUUUAUAACCGUUUUUGAACUCUAUUACAAAGUCAAAUUCUACCCUUCAUUUUUAUUAAUAACCCUUCAUUUUUAUAACCGGUGGUGUUGGCUUGAGACCUUAAAGUAAGGUCAUCUUAAGGUCCCAAGUUUGUCUUCCAUCCGAUGUCAAUUUUAAUACUCUAAUUUAACUUCUUUUUUUUUAAAAAAAUAACCCUUCAUUUGGUCUACCAAGUUUGUAGUUCAAUUCUUUUUCAAAUACUUAGGAAAUUUUCCGUUUUGCUCAUAAGGAAUUUCUCUGCCUUAUUUUAAUUAUGUUUAUCGAUUACAAGUUUAGCCAUUUUGAAAUGUUCAAAUGUUAGACAAUACAGAAAAAAAAAAAAAGGAAAAUACAAAAAAAUAAAAUUAAGGAAAAUAUUGCAGAGAUUUUGCACGUAUUCUACGUAAGAAAAAAAAAACUAUUGGAAGAAAUGCUAGUGAUAUUUUUCUUUUUUACAAUAACCUAGUGAUUGGUUGCGAAGGGAGAAAUUUUAUUUUAUCUUGAAAGAAGGGGAGAAAUAAUUUGUUAGCUGGAAUAGAAUAUUGGACCUCCAAUAAAAUAACCUUUUAGCUUCUCAACUCAUAUAGACUGAGAUAUCUGGGCAUUUCUUUAUAUUUUAUUCGUGAUUUAUACAUGAGAAAUGAGAUUUUUCUUUUAUCAAGAGUAAAAUGUUUUUUUUUUUGUCAAAUAAUUUAGUGGCUAGAAUUUAUCUUUUUUAAGGUGAAUAAGUGAGGAGUUCGGAAUUCCAAUCCCAACCCUUACAUAUAACAAUGCAUCUCCUUAUUAACUAAGCUAUGUUCAGAGGGACGUAAAAUGUGAUCUUUAAUUAUAAUACAAAGGUUCUAAAAAAAACUAUAGUAUAAAGGUUCUUUUUUUACUACAAUUUUCAAUAUUGCUGUAUUUUAAUAAUGGUGGACGGACCUUUAUUAUUAUUUUGCAAAUUUUGAUCAAAUAUUAUAAUUUUUCUUCUCUAAGGUCUAAUCAUCUCCACAAGAGUUCAAGCCCGAGACUUGGUAUAGUUGUUGUUCCUUUUCUCUACUAUCCUUUCAUCUUGUUUUUCUUCGUUUCAAUUGUGGUUUUACUUUAAAUUGUUACCAUCACUUGUGAUUGUUUUUGGUUAUUGAUUGUCUCUGACCAUUGCUACACACAUAAUAGUUUAUUGGUUUGCGUGUUUUGAUUCGAAUUCGCAACACUUAUCUCACCUGCAACGACUCUAUCUCUCUUUCAUUCCUAGUCACCGUCCACCACCCUCUAUCUUCAACUUGGUUCACCAUCGUCCAUUACCAUGUCAUCAUCACAUCAGUUAUCAUCACACAACCGUUCACCACCCUCAUUUUUCAGAUCGACUCUUCGUCUAGAUCUCUCUGUCUCUCUCUCUCUCUCCCUCUCUCUCCCAUCAAUGUUAUCUCACCAUUUCGUUCGUCCAACAUUACACUUGCGUCUCUAUCUCUCGUUUACCACAGCUGUGAUUAUCCCCAUUGUAACACCCAAGACUGAUGAGAGCGGGGAGUGGUCGCCGGUGCACAAGGCACGACAAUGAGCGGCUCCCGAUAGCUUAUAGACGAACCGAAUUACAUCAGAAUGAGAGGGAUCCCGAUGCCGUGCAAGUAUGAGACUGCAUAGUUGAAGGCAAGCUUAUAAGAAUUGUUUGGUACUACCUAUAUCAACAAGAUACAUCUUCUUUUUGGAAACCCAAUCCAUAAGAACUCCACAAUUAAGCGUGCUUGACUUUGAGUAGUCUUUGGAUGGGUGACCUACUGGGAAGUUUCUCGGUAAGCGUGCGAGUGAGGACAAAACUCGCUGAAAAGACUCGUGUUGGUUAAUUGGUAGGGUCAGUCGGAAAUGCUUAAAGUCGUCUGAGAUGUUAAACCCAUCGUCGUUUUUUCUAGUCAAAAUGAGAAGUAAGUAGAAGAAGAUGGGUAAAUGAGAAGGAAUGCGAAAAAUUGCAGAGAAUGAAUGGUGGUCGAAGAAGACGGAAGAGGAGGCACGGUCGUAUUCAUAUUUUGUUCCGUCGUUGAUUCUCUCUCACUCUCUUGUUUGGAUCUCUCUCAUCGAUGGCGAUUUAGUGGUGGUGAGGGAAACGAUGAUUUGAGGAUAAAAGAGAAGAGAAGAUGGAUAAGAAUGAUAUCUAGUCGAAAUUACCCAUUUGCGCUUGUUAUAUGGUUCAAAUAUCUUUUUUUUUUUUUUAAAAAAAAUCCCAAAUAAAAUAUCAUUUUUCUAUCCCAAAAAAAAAAAAAAAUCCCAUUUUUCAAAAAAGUAACAUUACUUCUCUUCCCAUUAUUUUAUUUUUAUUAAAUCCACAAUUUUGCUAUAAAUAUCAAGGUCCAUCUUUCCCUCAACAAAAAAUUAAGGUCCACCUUAACAAUUUUUGUUUUCGUAAGAAUUGGUAAUAUGCAUGGUUCAUUUCAAUAGCGUGUAGCAAAAUACUUUCAAAGAAGAAUAGAGGUAAACAAUUUCUAAGAUAUAGUUUAUGAAUUUGCAUUUACCGGUGAGAUCUUUGACCAAAUCACCACCGUGCUCGAAUAAUGGCGUAUAGGAACUGCAGAUUGUAAAAUUCAUGUUACUUUCUAAGGUGCUUGAGAAGAAGAACAUAUAUGCAAUAUAAUAAUAAACAAGAUAUUUCAAUUCUUUGACGGUUUCUUUUCUUGAUUUCUUGAACCAAUCUGCCCAAGGAUCAUCUGAAAUAGUAUUUUAUUAAUAAUAAAACAGAAAUCUUGCAGAAAAUUACCAUUGCUUUUGCUUUGAAUCACCAAUAUUGUUAUGGUUUUAAUGUUUAAGAAAGACCAUGGUUAAGUUUGUCCAUUACUAAAUCAAAAGUUAUGACACUACUAAUAGAAGGCAUGUUUAAUGUCUGAUACCAACACGACAUUAAGUUGCUUCCCUUCAUUCGAUCUUACUUAGGUUACUCCCAAGUUUCAGUGCAUUUGUUUUUGCAAAUACUCAGGAAAUUGUUAGCUUUGUUCAUAAGGAAAAUAAUAUCAAGCAGUCACAUCCACUUGCUUAAGUAAUUUUUUAAGAAUUGUUAUAUGACGUAGUUUAGUUAUCUCAUUUCAACAGCGUGUAACAAAAAAAAAAAAAUUCAAAGAAGAAUUUGGAACCGGUUAACAAUUUCAAAGUUUAUUAAUAAAAACGUAUAUGCAAUUUCUGUUUCUGUUCUUUAUAUCUGAAGUCUGUGUGUAGGGAAAUUUAUAACAUUACGUAAUGCCCAAGGAUCAAUUAAAACAAAUUUUUUGUGGAAAUAUAACAUGGAUUUGACCUGGUGUUUACAAAGAAAUAUGCAUGGGCCUGUUUGGAUUGUCUAUCUACCGACAUAAUUAUAAGUUUUGUGAGACUAUUUGAGGUAACUUAUAAAAACAGCUUUUAACAAUUUUCGCGGGCUUUUCUCGGCUUAUUUUCAAAGGGAAUAAGUUUAGAUAAUCAUAUAAUCUUAGUUUAUUUAUUUCAUGAAGUCUAGGACUCGUCACAUAAUUCUCUUGAGAUGUUGCGAACAAUGAAUUGUUACUUGGGUACCGGCUCAUGGUAUUUUUGCAAAUUGUUUUGCACCAAUUCCCCUUGUAAUUCGUAGGAACUACUAUACCGAUGAAUCGAGUCAAGUGAGUGAAGUUCAAAGAAAGAGGAAGAAGAUGUUGAGUAGGAGAUAAAAGAAAGGAAGAUUUCUAGUGCAACAAAUAAAUUCCGUAGGAAAACCUCUUUGAAGCUUGGAGGAAGAGAAACGUCUCUUGCAAAAUAUAUAACAAUUAUAAAAAAGAACAAAAACGAAAUAAAAGUGAAUAUAAAAAAAAAUAUUUUGGGAAGUGGGAACUAGUUUGUUACCGCUUGCUACUAUAAUUCUUCUACUUGGUUCCAAUAUGAAGAUAACUUAGUAUACUUAAUUAGGUAGUAUUAUAGUACUGCCAACCAACGCGAAUUGCAAAUUAUGUGACUAUGGGCUAGACUUAGGAGAAUUGACUCUUAUAGCCUUUGAACAAUUUCCGGGUUGAAAUAUUGUUAAUAUGAUUUAUUUUAAAUUUUAACUCGCCUUCGGCACAUUUUUCGUUCUCUCCAUAGACAAAAAUUUGCUGCUAUUUGGUUAGGAUGUCUUUACAAUAUCAUUUCCUACUAUUGUAUCCUUUUACCUUUCCAAUUGGAAUUCCUAUACAAAUUCGCUUGUUAUCUGCAGCAAAAGAUCAGCUUUCAGGUUCAUGAAAUUUCAUAUCUUUCUUAUAAGUAUGAAAUUCUGGAAAUCUUAUACCAGUGUGUUUGCUAUUUUCUGAUUUUGGGAUUUGUUUCCGAUUCUGAUAUGGCUUGUUCAUGAAGUUUCAUAUAUUUCUUAUUAAGAGUAUAUAUGAAGUCAUUGUUUAUUUAUCUUCUGCAUUUUCUUUUUCAGUAAUCCAUGAUUCUUGCAUCCAUUUAAAAAAGGCUCAUUUACAAGAACUAGGGUUUACUGAAUAAAUGUUUCCCACAAUAUUCUUUGCAUAUUAAUAGAACAUGUAUGAUAUUAGAAAUAUCUUGAACUCAAGGUAUUAGCGUUAUGUAUGAUCUUACAAACAUCAUUCUAGAAACUUCAAUGAUGUUAUCUAAUAUCGACAACUUCUAGAAACAAAUCAAAUAACAUAAUCCAAAUUUUAUUUAACAAAAAACAAUGAUUCCAUAUAUAUUACAAUAAGAGUACUGCUAUUUGUACUAGUUUAUAAACAAAUGUUUAACUACAUUAUUUUUUUAUUGUCAAAAAAAUUAUAUUUAAUUUUUCAAUUAAGAUAACAUGAAGAAAAUUAAGAGAAAAAACGAUAAGCUGUAAGCAAAAUAUAUUGAAAUUUUUUAUGGUUUAUGUUCUCUAUUUCUUAAGCCAAACUGCAAGGAAAUUUCACAUUUCGUAAUGUCCAAGGAUCAAUUGAAAAAGAUAUUUUGCAGAAAUCCACCAUUGCUUUGAUCCGAUACGCAUUUUUGAGUGUCUGAGAAGCCCCCAAAGAAUUCUCUGAUGCUUCAUUCAGAUUAUGUGAGCAAUCUAUCAACCUUGUGGCUUAUCAUCAUCUAGUGUUAAAGGUUUAUUUUCUGAGAAAUCUAACAUAUAAAUAUCUAGGAAUCCUCCUUAUUUGAUCAUAACAAUGAGCAUAACAAUGAGUAUUAGAAGUUAGAACUAAGAAUUGGAUUUUGACAUGUCUUAUAAUUUGGUAAAAAUAUAAUAUGUAAUACUCAUUGUUUCUGAUUGGAUCCACAUUUGAAAACCAUGACAACCGUAACAUUGUGUCCCAGUGUCUUAUUUUGCCGUGACAUUGAGAAGCUAGACAUCCUGGUUUCUGCUAGACGCGCGAAUGAGAGACGAUUGACGCAGUUCCAAACAUUCAAAGUGUCUAAAAACUAUAAAUUUAAUGAAAAUUUUCCUUGUAUUUGUGCUACUAGCUGAACAUGUAUGAUAUCAGUAAUAUCUCGAGUUACAUGUGAGUUAAAAUCUUCUACCAGAAUUUUUUUCCUUCAUUGAACCAGAUCAAUAUGAGCCAAUUUUUUUUCACCAACAUCAUUUCUCAAUAAAUUAAACGAACAUGAGCCAAUGAAUCUUUUGCAGUAUAUUUAAACUAAAAUUCGGAAAAAGGCAACAAUUUCAAUGUACUUGAGAGGAGAAUAUAGUGCAAACUGCCGCAAUGAUGGCCUUUGUUGUUGCAACCAUCUCAGAUUGUUCAGGUACUCAUGUUGUUGCAAUCGUCAAACUUUAACUGCACCAUUUUAAAUUUAGACAACAUUGCUCAUGGAACAACAUAGGAUGAGGAGGUAAUAGCUAAAAGUAUAUACUUACCAAGUAUAUAGACUAAAACACCCUCAUAAGGAAGAGCAAGUAAAUAAAAACAUUAAAAUCAUAUUAUUCCAUAAUGUUAUCUUACAUCAACAACUUCUAGAUACAAAUCAAAAAACAUAAAUACAACUUUAACUUCAGAAAAAAAAAUGAUUUCAUAUAUAUUAGAAUAAGAGUUCUUCUAUUUUGUUACAAAGGAUUUCUACAAGAGAGAAAACAAGGAUAUUUGACCAAUCAUAUUCUGACCGACCAAUAACCAUACCUACUGCCCUGUAGGAUUCUUGCGUUUAUCAUCAAACUUCUCUCAUAACAAUAAACAUUUUCCUUCAACAAUAAUCCACUACUUCUCUAGUACAUAAAUCAUAUUUUUACCAUGGUUAGACAGAGUCCUCCAAUAGUAGGUUGAGUUAAUGAUAUCUGAAAACAACGAAAAUUGCAAACCUAUGUACAAAGGUAUUGGGAGGAAAGAAAAUAUUGAAAUGAAACUGGGAACCAACGUCGAACCAUGGAAGUAUAUUAUGAAGAAGUUAGUACUUAAUGCUACCAUCAUGCUUGUUGCGGAGAUAGCUAAUGUGAUCAAUCCAGAUAUUAGUUUUAAAGGUAGUGAUUUAUAGAAGUCGUACUCUCCAUAACGUGAGACAAGAAUCGACAAGAAAAUCAAUAUCGCGGUCGCAGAUGAGAUGAAUGCAAAUGCAUCUGAUAUUGCAAACACCAAGAAUGAUGUUUUAUUCAAAUAGUGUGGUUUUCCAGAAUCAUCGGUACCGCCUGGUAAAGUAGUUGCAGCAGCAAACACUCCGGUAGCAAUGACAGUUGAAAUUAGCAUGCAAGACUCGGCAGUUUUUUUCAUCCACGACUCUGCGUUUUCUCUUAGUGUUUCAUGCUCAAUUGAGAAUAGCUCUUGUGCUGUAAAGCCUUCAGAGUUUCUCAUCUUUAUCUGUCCAGGCAACAUUAUCUUCUUUACUUUCUGUCACAUGAAAAUGUAUAUAUGUUAAGUAAAAUAUAGCUAUGUUAAUUUUUUAUAUUGCUAUUGACACAGUGGCAAACAAAUACUCAAUUAUUAAUACACACAGAAUAGGUUAAGUGUGGAAAGUAGCUCGCUUUUCAAAACAAAUUACUAUGCUGUAAAAACAAGGACAAUUGUCGAAAUAAAUUAAGAUUUUUUUUUUGGUCAAGUAGCCUAGUGGCUAGAAAUUCACACAUUUAAGGUGAAUAAGUGGAGUGUAUGGAGUUCGAACCCCGGCCCCUAUAUAUAUAUUAUGCAAUGUCCCUAUCAAUUGAGCUAAACUCACGGGUACUAUUUUAUUUAUAUAGUAGAAUAGGAUAAGUGUGGAAGUAGCUUGCUUUUAAUUUCUCAAUAAAAUGAAUAAAAAAGGGUUGCAUUGCAUGUACCUCAAACCAUAAUAACUCAAGGCACAUUUGAAAAGCUGACCCAGAAACCAAUUCAAGUUGAACUUGUGGUGCUAAUUUUGCAGCCAAGUGCAAUAAAGUGUUUCUGUCAUCAUCUUCAAAUGUCACUAUGAUACCCUUUAUAUGCCCUAUUUGAUGUAUAACAUUGUAGAUAGCAACAUACCGAUGCAAUACAGCUAUGUGUAAUAUAGUUCGAUUUUUGCUAUCCACAUCCCAUAUCAAGCUAGGAUAAACACUAAUAAGCUCCGAUAAGAAUCCAAAAUUUCCAACUUCUGCAGCAUCAAAUAUUACCUGAGAAGGUUCAUUUAUGAUUUUAUUUAACUCCACCUUUGAUGAGUAGUGUUUUUCAAGAAUGGUGGUCCAAAGAAAUUUAACUAAUUGGAAAACAAUGUGACUUUUCAUGCCUGAAAUACGAAUUAUGGUUAAUUAAGUUAAUGAAACCAAUGUAAAAGAAUUUAAAAAAUAUAAAAGUUAAUGUAAGGAUUUACCGGGAUUGGUCAUUAUGGGAUUAUGAUCAUGUUCAGGACAAUGACAACCAGAAUUUAAAGGCAAUCCAUUUUGAGCCAAGAUAUGCAAAGCUGUCUCUUCAUUCACAUCACGUGCAAAAGCUAGUGCAUUUCUAUCUCUUACCAUUUUUAAGGCUAAGUCUGCAAUUGGAGAAAAUUAUAUUGAUCAAUAUUUUUGCAAAUAAGAAGUUAUGUAAAUAUUCCAUGUUGUCCAUGGUGGACCGACGAGGAAGGCAAAUCCCUCAAAACUUAGAAGACAACUAAAUUUGCCACCUUUAAAUAGACCUCAACUUCCUUAUAGCUGAAACAGUGAUCUAAUCGGUUUUAAGUGGACAAAGCCAAUAAGAAACUAAUAUUAAGCAUUUUUGCCCACUAGACCAUAUGAACUACUCAGAAUUCUAUAGUUAGAGACCGGUUUAGUUACCGAAUUGUUGUAGUCUUCAUUUGCCUAGUCGCUAAAUCAGUCCCUCAAUCAGUUGCAAAACUGAUUAACUUCUGACCAAUUUGUAUAAUGUAGCAAAACUCUUAGUCUCUAAUGUUAGCAACCGAUUGACAAUUUCAAUCUCUCUAAAUCAGUCACUAUAUGACAGUUUUUUUUAAUGAAUUUCAACUUUCACUAAUACUUACCAUAGAUGCCAUUGUGGAUACAAGCAAAGAACAAUAAAUCCCAGUCAUCAUCUUCAAAACAAUGUAUGGUUUUCUCAUAUAGAUGCCAUGUCGUUUUACACCUUCCUUGCAAAGCAGCAUACUGAAUAGGAGUAUAUCCUUUUCCAUCCCUUAUUACAGGUAAUUGUGAGUUCCUAUCCAACAGUAAGUCAACAAUUUCAAUGUUUCCAGCUGCAGCAGCAAAGCAAAAAGCAGUGUUUCCUUUCAUAUCUUGCAACGCUAUGUCAUUGUCAUCAAGAAUACUCAAUAACUCCUUCACAAAGUGAAUGCGGUUUGCACCUGCAGCAAUAUGCAAUAGUGUUGGACACCCAUUUGCUAUGGCAGCAUUUUUCAGCUUAUCGUCUUCGUCUAAGAUGCGCUUGGCUGCUGGCCAGUUUCCAUUUAGAGCAUGUUUGUGAAUGGGAACACAAAGCUUGAGAAACCUUUUCCUUGGAUCAUUACCUAAAACAGAGUGUAUUUCUAUUGCGUUAACAUUAAACUCAUCAAUCGUGUGAACAUACCACGUAGAAUACUGAACUAUUAUCUCUGAAAAAUAAUAUGUCGUUCACUUUUCCGUUCACCUCAAAUGAGUAUAAUUAAUUUUUUUGUUACGUUACUAAUUGAUUUUUAUAUUUUAUUAGAUGAUGCGGACCUGAUUUGAAUUACUAUAACAACAAAAAACAUAACCUCAAAGGUUUUGGAUGAUACUCGACCAUAUACAACCACAUCAAGUAAUAUAUUCUCAGUUUAUAACAUAGUUCAACUAUUUUUUCAUCGAUGGGAAUACACUAACAAACCUCUUAUGUGCCAAUUUACUUGGAAGCCAUAUCGUGGACUUAAGUACGAUGUUCCAGAGGACAGUUGGUUGUGGACUACUACCACAUAUCUGAUAUGUUUUGACACAACAAGAAUGCAUAAUGUCUUGAUGUAUCAAUACGAAGAAGACAAUGCACCAAUCACUGAGAUGAUGCAGGGUAAAAGAAGUCAUGGCCCGUGGGCACAUUAUUGUCAAAAUCCCGACUUAAAUCCUAAAAUUUAUGAUUUUGUGGUUUUAUUCACCUUGAGGCUUGCUUCAAUGAGAAUCCCAAAAUAGGCAAAAUCCUAAUAAAAUCGCUACAAAUCGCACAAAACUGUGAAAUUCAUACAAAAUCACAGGAUUUUAAAGGGUUUCAAAGGAUUUUGUCCAUUUUUUUUUAGUCAUUUAUAUAUAAGUAUUUUGCGCACUUUAAACUAAGUCAUUUACGACAAUAUAUAAUUUAAAACAUAUACUUAACCUUUUUUUUUUGUUGAUAAAAUCCAUCGAUUUUAAUUUCAAUUUUACGAUGUAUUAUGUAGACUCUACAAAAGUAGUUGAGUAAAAACCUUCGAUUUUGAUUUCCAUUUUACAAUUUUCGAUUUUGUUUCAUUAGUAAUUUACUAUAUAUAUAUAUUUAUAUAUAAUUUGAGAGAGAAGGAGAGCCAUACUUGUUUCCUCUAAAAACUCACUAUUAGGAGUGUCGUAUAGAGCUACUGCCGGCGUUUGUUGUGAUACUGGAGGUGUAGUAUUCACAUUAGAUGUUGUCACUUCUCUGUCAAAGAAAAUAUAUAUUUUGCAAUUUUUAAUCGAUAAAAUAUAUAUCAGUUUUUGAACACAAAAUUGUAUGAAACACUUAACCUGUCAAGCUCCUCCCACAUUUCCUUGGCUGUCUGACAACUUGAAAUUCUUUUAAGAUCAUCUGGAUUUAAGGCACAACAUAAAAUAUUUUUGGCUUUUGCUUCUAGUUCCACGUUCUUCUUAUCUUCACCAUUGAAUUCAUCUUCAGAUUUCUCUGAUGCUAUACCAUCUAUCAUUAUUUUGGGAAUAUUUGGUCCAUUCUUAAUCACAAGCCAGAGAUCGAAGUCAACGGAUUGUAUGAAUAUCUUUAUACGCUCCUUCCAUUCAGUACAAUUUGUUGUUGUACCAUCGAAGUAUGGUGGCUUUGAAAUGGAUCUCCCUUCCACGAUCGUUGUGUCCAUACUUUUUUAAUUCUAUUAUAUUUCUUCGUUAAGUCUAGCUUUUUUAUGGCUGCUAUUGGAGUGCUUGUGUGUUGAAAGUAUGAUGCAUCUAGGUUGGGGAAGCCAAUUAGAAAUUGUUGGUGUUUUUUUGGUUUCUGUCUUGUAGGGAGUGUUGGCCGUUGCAUAUGUUUGCACAUGGUGCUUUUGUUCUUUUGUUCGAAGAAGGUGUAAAGAAUGGAGAUGGUGUUGGUGGGUGUCUUACUAAAAAAAAAUUGAAUGCCCUUAAUAAAUUUAUUUUAAUCAUUGAAAAAUGUUCUAUUGUUCGCCUCAAGAAUAUGAUUCUUAAUGACAAAGAUUCCUUCCUAAUUACAUGGAGACAUCAUUACCAAUUUUUUUAUAGAGGAUUUAAUGUUAUUUUCAUUUUUUUAAAGUAAAUAGAGAAUCUUCAUUUAUAUACUCCAGUUUUAUUGUAUAAUAGUAAGUCUUGCUUGGUCAAUAUUUAGAAUGAAUUUUUUUUUAAAAAAAUAAGUACGUAGGACUAAAAUAUUUUACAAUACAUUUGCAAGGAGUGAGAAAAGGACAAGUGAUGAUGCACAACAAAAAUUUAUACAACCGAAAUUUGUACAGUUAUCAUGGAUAGGACAAUGAAAAUUGUUUUUUUUGACAUUGAAUACUUCCUAUUGAUACAAGUAAAUGAUCAAAUUACUCCAGCGAUAGUUAACUGCCUCUGGCAUAUGCACCGACAGUUAACUGCCGCUGGCUCCUCCAGAGGCAGUUGCUUUGCUGCUUUUUAUUGUAAUUUUGCGCGUUUCGGUCGAAAAAUUAAAAUAAAUCGAAACUUAUUCAGAAUUCUACGAAACUUUAUGGACCCUCAAUAUAUAUUUUUUUAGAGUUGUCUCCAAAAAACCAGAUCAAAGUUCAAUUUCUAGGUCGACGUUUUGAUUUUUUGGUUUCUUGAGUUAUUGGCGCAUUAAAAAUUCAUAUUUAAUCCAUCCGUUGUCGAAAAAUUCUAAUUUUUUGCGGGAAAUGUUUUUUUUAUGUUCUUAAUAUUCAACCUCUAUAUAACUUUUUUGGACGCGCAGUUGGAAAAAUAUUGCAAUUUUACGCGUUUCAGUAAAAAAUUCAAAAUAAAUUGAGGAUUACUCUAAAUACUAAGAAAAUUUUCAGAUCCUCUAUAUGUAUUUGUAUAGAGGUGUCUGCAAAAAAACAGCUCAAAAUUCAAUUUUUAGGUUGAUGUUUUGAUGUUUUCGUGUCUUAAAUUUUAGGCGCGUUAAGAAUUCAUAUUUAAUCUGUCCCUUGUCAAAAAAUUCAAAUUUUUUGUGGAAAAUGUUAUUUUUAUGUUCUAAACAUGAGUGCAAAAAAGCGUGAAAAAGUUCAACAUCUAGGACACUUUUUCGGACUCGCACUUGAAAAAAAUUAUGAUUUUGCAUGGUUCGGUUGAAAAAUCAAAAUAAAUCGAGACUUAGUCAAAAUGCUACGAAACUUUAAAGAUACCUCUAUAAAAAUACAUAUAGAUGAUGUGAGAAGUUUCGUAACAUUCCGAAUAAGUGUCGAUUUUUUUUAUUUUUUCAAUUCCGAUUUUGCGCAUUUCGGUUGAAAAAAUAAAAAAAAUCGAGACUUAUUUAGAAUGUUACGAAACUUUUCACAUCAUCUAUAUGUAUUUUUAUAGAGGUGUCUGUAAAGUUUCGUAGAAUUCUGAAUAACUUUCGAUUUAUUUUGAUUUUUCAACUGAAACGCGUAAAAUCAUAAUAAAAAACAGCAAAGUCACUCUGGAGGAGCCAGCCUGCCGGCGCAUAUGCCAGAGGUAGUUAACUACCGCCGGGGAUAAUUUGGUCAUUUAUUUGUGUCAAUAGGAAGUAUUCAAUGUCAAAAAAGCAACUUUCUAGGACAAUAGCACCUAAUAAUAAAUUAACUGUUUGUAAAGGCCCAAAAACUGUUGGUAUAGAUCAUAAAACCUACACCAACGGACACUUGCUGCCGUCUACACUAAUUAGCUUAUACCAACGGCAAAAUGCCGUCCCAAUAGCCUAUACCAUCAGAAAAUUAGGGUGUUGGAAAAAAAUUCGGAGCAGACUGUCCGUUGCUAAAAGUCUGCUUCUUUUUUUUUUUUUUUUUUUUCUACAAAUAAUAUUUUGUCUUAAUUAAAUAUUUUUUUAAUAACAAAAAUUUUGAACUGUUUUUUAUAUGCACCACAAAAUAUUUAAAGCAAAAUAAAAGAAAGUUUCAAUUAUAUUGUCAAAUUAACAGGUCUUAACAACAUAUCAAACUAACAAAGUGUAAUAAUAACCACCACCAAACAGCUUCUACGACUACAAACAGCACAACAGAGUAGAUGAGCAAAAAUGUGUCCAAAAUGAAAGAAACUUCUAAUCUUUCUCUCUUCCUCCAAAUCUUCCCAUUAAUUAAGUGUAAAUUUUCAAAGUAUUGAGUUAUGUACAAUAACAUCUUCCCCUUAAGAAUUGAAAGAUUUGCAGGAAAAUGGGUACUUGAUGAAGCCAUGAUUGCAUCAAAGAGAAUGUUCCCAAGAAAGAAACCUUGAUCACUAAUACCAAUUCGCUGGAACAAGCUCUCACUUGCAUGAAUCACACAGUAACACUCCUAUUUCUAUUAAAGCAAAUAAUCAUGCGAAUAAUAUAUUUAUUCAAGAAAUAGAGGUUACAUCACAUUCAAAAUUCAAAACCAAUAAACAUGUAUAUAAACUUCAACAGUAGCAGCGGAAUAUAAAUCAGAGGAAUCCAAAUAUACAUGUCAUAAACCAAAUAUUACAUCACAUAGAUGAAUCUCAAAAAUCCCCACAUACGGGUAAACUCCAAACAUAACAAAAUCCAAAGAAAACUAAUCUAGACCGACACGACAAGUCUAGAUCAGAGCCAACUCUAACGAAGAUAUCGGAGAAAGCUCUCGAUAUCCACCAAGCACGGAACUCACCGAGCAACUACUCCUGCACAACGUCUACUCACCCAUAUAGGCAAGCAGGCGGACAAACCACUGGGGGUAAGUAUUACAUCAUCAUAAUUCAAAUAACAGUUAAUCAUGGAUAUUUCAAUAUAACAUCAUGCAUUUGAUCAAUAACAAUAUACUUACAUCAAACUCCAAUAUCUCACAUCAAUAAUCUCCAAUCACAUGUGUCAUGAACGAAUAUCAACUUACAAUUAUUCAUACACCAUUAUCAAUCAUAUAUAUCAUGAACAAUCACCAAUCAUAUUCCAUAGUAAUCAUCAAAUCACAUUUGAUGAACAAUCACCAAUCACAUUUAUCAAAUAAGACUCAUGUCAUGAUAUGCACUUAUUGACUCAAAAAUGCAUGUGGUACCGAAUCACCUCCAGGUCGUCACCUUUGAUGCCUCUUGAACAUCAUAUGUAAGAUUUCACACCCGUCUUACAUAAUCUCCGAAGUAAAAGAGCUUAACCCUUUUACAACUACAAAUACAACACGACUAUGAUGCAUGGACAUGUAAUAAGACUCGAUAAUGCGACAACAAUCACAAUUCUCAACACAAUAUAUAGGACAACACCCAAUUAUAUUGUUCAUCUCCACAUCAAUUGCAUUAUCAAGAAAACAUGCCCACACACAAUUAAAUCAUAGUAUUCAUCAUCCCACAUUAACAUGAUUAUCAAUAAUCAACGACAUCAUUCAACAUCACUAUAUCAAAUAGUUUCAUCAUUUCAUUAUAUCUCAUAUCCCAAGUAACAAGAAAACACAACGUAUUAUGAUUAAUAUCAUAUCCAACAUCUAUCUAUUCAUUACAUAUCUCUAUUCAGUCAUAAAGGCUAGUCAUGAAAAUAUAACAAAGUAUUUAGUUAAAGGAACCAUUUUCCAAGCUAUCCAUCAAACAAAUCAAGAACAUUGAAAGCCUCGACUAAGUAUAUACACCGAUCACUCAUGAGUGCAGUGGCGUAUACAUCAACGUUUCAUGGACCAAUUCAUUUAAGAUGGCAAAGUUUUGGAAGUUUAAGCAAUUAUUCUUAAUGAAAAGAUAAUUCAUUUUCAAAACGAACCAAGUUAGAUUCCAACACAACUGAAGUUAAACACUCUUAAACCUUGAAUUGAACUCAUAAUAAACAAACUUUAAAGUCCGGAAACAAUCUAAAAGUUUUGGGUUGACUUAGAGUUAGUUAUGCGAAAUUUUCGUGAAACCUCAAUAAGACCUCCUUGGAGUUUUUGUAACAUAACUCAAAAAUUAAAACUUAUUUCCAAGUCAAACCAAAGCCAUUAGAAAGCCAACAUCAUUAUCUACAACUUUUAUGUUAACCAAAAAGUCCAAAUCAAAACAGAAAUAUGAGAAAACGAUGCAAGAACGAGAAACGGGGAAAACUGACACUGAGCAGUUCGCCUGGUGAGGAAGGUUGCUCGCCUGGCGAAACAAGUCAGGUUGCAGAAAAUUAUGUUACGGGAAAAAUCCAUUUUCAUCCCAAAAUCCCAAAUUUUGACUUCCCAAUGCCCAAAUUGGAAUCCAAAGUUUGUAUGAACGUUUCUAAUCUUGAAAAGACACUCAAUUCCAUAUAACCACUUGAAUCUAACAUCAUUUUAAACAAAAUCAUCAUUUGACCCAUUUUUGCAAAACAACCAACAACAUCUUAUUUCUCACUAACAAUCAUGAUAUAUGAACACCCAAGCCAUAAAUCAUAGCAACAACAUAUCUCAGCAACAACAACAUCAAUUGAAACUUGUUUCUCACCUCAAUUCAACAACAACAUGUCAUAAUUCAUCAAUUAAGCAUAAUUUCACAACUACCCAUUUUCAAACAUUAUGAACAUGUUAUUUCAUCACCAACAAUUCAUUUAUCAUUCAAUUAACAUACUCAAACUUAUCACCAAAACAAGAGCACGAAAUUCAAGAAUUGGGUUCAUUAUAAUCACUUAUUCUCAUAAUCAAUUAUGCAUAGAACAAGAGAAAAAGAAUUAACUAAGUGAUUAUGAUAAAGACUAACCUCCUUACCUUAAUUAUCUCCAACUAUUAACUCUAGCUUCACUUUUGCUCCUAUGAUUCUUCAAUCUUCAAGUUUCCCCUUUCUCUAACCCUUGUUCUUCCUUUCUCCCACUUUCUCUCUCUACCUCUCUAUAACUUUGUGAAAUGAAAAGGAAUGAAUGAAUUUCUCUCCAAGUUUUAAGUUUUGGUAUGCUCCAUCUCAAUUGGGCUUAAUUCUAGACCCUAGUGGGCUUAACCCAUUUCUAUUCAAACCAAAAAUGUUUCUACACCUCAAACGAUAUUUAACUAAUAACGGUAAAGUGUCACUAACGGUCACUAAACAGUAAAAUCUUAGUUUUACUCUAAUAACUUAAUAAAUAAUGGUUCUCACUAAAUACUAAAAAUAAUCCUCGACUAAAUUUACAAAUUUAAUCUUACUAGUGUAAUUAUCAAAAUACCCAAUAAAUGCACUCAAUGAUAAUUAAAUAAACACAAGCACAUAUAACACAUAAUAAAAGUAAUUAAAAUAAAUCUAGCUAAAAGUCGGACUGUUACAGGUUCUACAAUCACUCACACGGUAGUUCCUCACUUGGCCUCCCCUUCACCUAAGCCUUCUGUAGUUCCUCACACGGUCUCUAACCGCAACUUUGCACAAGCGCUUCUCAACAAAAUUGAAGUCUCUGUGUCUGAUCUCCCGAAACCUUGUUGGAAAGGUGAUUCUCUUUCAAUCAAAAUUUCGGAAGCUGGUUACCAAACUGGUCUUGCUAAUAGCAACAAUUAUCUUCAUGGAAGAUUGAUGUUGUCUCGGGGUGAUAAACCCAUUUCCUCUAAAGAUUUGCGCGAGAAACUCUUGCUGUUAUGGAAACCUCUCAAUCAGUGGAAGAUGAUUCCUCUAGGUCGGGGAUUUUUUGAAUUUCGUUUCUCUUGUGCGGAUGAUCUUAGAAGUGUCUGGUCACAUGGUGCUUGGAACUUGAAACCGAGAUUGCUACAGCUUUCUCGUUGGUCUCCAGAAUUUAUUUCUUCCAGCCAAAAACAAACUCAUAGUCAGGUAUGGGUUCGUUUUUAUUAUCUUCCUUUAGAUUAUUGGCAACCUUUAACUUUAUUUGAGAUUGCUGGGGCUAUUGGUACGCCUAUAACAAUUGAUGAGAGUACUAAAAAUCAUGCUUUUGGACAUUAUGCACGUGUGCUAGUUGAUGUUGAUAUGGCUGGUUUUCUUCCCAACUCUUUGUGGCUUGAAAGAGAAAUUAUUCUUUUGAAAUUGAGAUUGAGUAUGAAAAGCCUCCAUACUAUUGUUUCAAUUGCAACUCUAUUGGUCAUUCUCCUGAUCAUUGUAAAAAAAAUCGUGUCAAUAAAGCAGCUAUUGAGAAGGUUGUCUCCAAAAGUGACCCCGUAAAAAAACUCAAACAAGAUUUUGUUCCUAAAAGAAAUGAGGGUCACGUGCAAGGCGGGAAAAAACCUAUGACUUUUGAAGAUCCCCUUAUUAUUGAUAUAAUAAGGUCGAAAGAUGCAACAUCUAGCAUGUUUAUGGGAGAUCCUAUAAUGUUUGAGAAAGAGCUUCUUCCUAGCCCUUUUAUAGGAACAGAUCCUGUGCAACCAAUUCAGAUAGCAGAUGGUCUCACCUAUAUUUCGGUUGAGCAACAUAGAGAGGAACAACAGAGUGACAAAUAUCCUGAUUUACGCAUUGUUGGUCCUUGGAGUGAUGCUGUUACUAAUAUAGACUGCACUCAAGGUUCCUCGUCAUUGUGGCACCCUUGCCUCAAGAAUUGAGGUUUUAAACCCAAACAUCGCUCAUGACUUGGAGAUUUUGCGGCCACAUUUCUUGAAGGGUAAUGAUGCUAAGAACUUUGUGCCUCAACUUUACACUGAUGAGGAAGAAAGAGAGGCCGCUAUCAAUUAUUUGAGGAACCGUUCUACUGCUUCAGAAGAGCCCUUCAUUGAGGUUGAGUCUCGGUGCACAAAGAAGAAGAAUAAGCAGAAGGGCUUUCAGGUUCACAAUACUCGCUCUGCGGGUAGGUUACUAGAUUGAUUCAUGGGCUUUCUUUGAGUUACCUUCCUUGUUCUUGUUCUUUUUCUUUUCCCCUUUGUUUGUUUGCUUUUAUUUUAUUGUGUUGCCUUUAUCGUUUGAGAAUGUUUUGGUUAGGUCCCUCUUCUCCUUUUGUACUUGUUUCUUUUUAUGUUUAUAUAUCUAGGGUGAUGCAGUUGAUUCUUCAUCUGCACACCUUUUGUUUAAAAAAAUAAAAAAUACAAUCACUCACAAAAGAGAGGAUUAUAGAAUGAAGUUGGUUUAGGACAUAGAAAAUGGACCAAAUGAUUUCUCAAAUUUUAUUAAAAUAUUGCACACUUUGAUCAAUACAUUGAGUCUUAUUUAUACACCCAUACACACUUUGAUCAAUACAUUCGAGUAAAUUAACAAACAAACAACCUGAAUUAAUAUCAUAAUACAACAAACAAACAAACAAACAGUAGAAUUUGCUGCUUCUGUAAAUUUUCAUCCCAUGUGAAAUUUCCACAAGCGAACGAUCCUGCAAUUUUUUUGAAAUUAUUAUAAAUAACUCAAUGCAAAAUAUAUAGGUUUAAUAAUUAAAUAUAAUAAGACACUCCUAAAAUUAGUUGAAAUUUUUUAAAUAAUUUUUCAAACGAAAAAACAUUAUGAAUACUUGAACUAAUAAAAAAACCGUAUAGUUUUUUUUGGUUACAAAAAUAAAAAUAAAAAAAAAUGAUUUUGUUACGUUCCUCAGCUUGCUUUUUUUUAUUAAUUCAAUCAAGUUUAGGCCGUUUCUUUAAAAUUAAUGAAAAUAAAUAUAUUUCUGAUCUUCAAGUUAUAUUUGUGUGUAUCUUUUUUAUUUUACUAUUUUGUUAAAAAAUGAUUUUUAUCCUAAAAACUAUUUUAUUUAAUUUUUAAUCAAAGGUGAGAAUACAAAAUCUCAUUUUAUAAUUUUAAAAAACACAAAUUGACACUUUUAUUUAAAAAAACACUAAAUCAUUUAUAUCAAAAUCACUUUUUAUAACGAAUAAGCACUAAAAUAUCAAAAAUGAUUUGUUAGAUAUAAUAUAUUGGGUUAACAUUAAAGAACAUCGGUCUGAUGUCUAAUUCAUUUAACUCCUUAAAAUACUUGAUAUUAAUGUGUGGAAAACACAUGGAAUCUAUGUAAACAACUAGAUUCAAGUAAGAAAUAUUGUCAAUGUAAAUGAUUUUUAUCACUACCAGAAAAAGCAAAAUUAGCGAGGGAAAUUAGUGACGGAAAAAAUGAAAUUCCUCACAAAUUUCAUGGUCGCAAAAUUUAGUGACGAAAUUAGAGAGGGAUUUCACGUUUUCCCUCACAAAAUUUCCCUCACUAAUUUUUGUUUUUUUAGUAGUGUAUAUUACCAAAUCAUAAUCCUCAAUUUGUUAAAAACAUUUUAACUUUAAUCAUAAUUUUUCAAAAGUCACACUUAUGAUUAGUUUAUGAUUUACUUAAGUGUAAAACUUUUUACAUUAUUGCUGUAUAGAAAUUAAAUUUGAAAAUUUAGUAGGGUGAAUUGAUUUUACCCUAUCAAUUUUUUCGUUUAAUAUAAAAUCAAAACAAAUGUAUUUUUUUUUCCAAACAAAUUAAAUUUGAGUUCAAUGUAACAAGUAAUAAGUUUUUAAAGCUAAGUUAAAUUUACGUAGUUAAUUUGUUAAGUUUAUUCAAAAUCAAAUAUUUAGAUGAUCUUAAGUUUAUUCAAAAUAAAAUAUUUUAGAGGUAAAUUUACGGUAGUUAAUUUGUUAAGACAAAUGAAAUCUGUUAGUAACACUUGAAUCCUUAGUUAGAUAUUGCCACUUCUUUGGUGACUCAUUUCAAAAUCAUUAUUUUUUAUAUUUUUAAGUUUAAAAUUAAAAAAAAAAAUUAAAACAUCCAAAAUAUAAGUUCAAUAUUAAAUGGUUAACAAUGGAGAUAAGUAUUGCAUCAUGCAAAAGUUAUUUUUUACUAUUUGAUCAAUAAGUUUACGUGUGUAUAUUAGACAAAGCGCAUAUAUAUAUAUAUAUAUAUAUAUAUAUAUAUAUAUAUAUAUAUAUAUAUAUAUAUAUAUAUAUAUAUCCUUGUGAGCUUAGCUCAGUUAAUAUGAACAAUGUAUAAUAUAUGUAAGAUCUGAUAUAAUAUAUGUACACACGCACACACAUACGAGAGAAAAAUCAAAUACAAUCGUGUCUUGAUACCUGUUGGCCUCAUCAUUUAUAGUUGGGAUAAGACAUAGAAUCUUGAGUACUUAGUGUCUGAGAUUUUUGAGGACUAGAAUUUGCCUUAUGAGGAGAAUUCGAAUAGCUCAUCUGUUUCAUUUGGUCCGAGACUUCAUUUUUUUUUAUUUUUUUUUUGAAGGACGAGACUUCAUUUUUCUUAGCAUCAUUCGAAUUCGUAUUUGUAGGAGGAUCUUUCGAAUAGCUCAUGCCAAUAUUUGGUGAACUCAUUUUUGUAUUUUUUUAUGCUAAUAAAAUAUUAUGUUUAAGCAAAACGAGGUAGAUAUUAAUGUAUUUAUAACCUUAGAAUGCUUGCUGCAUUAUACAAAGUAAUGUACCAUGCAAUUCCAUCGUAAGUUUUGGCAAAAUUCAUUUAAACAUUUUAAAGACCACACGUAACAAAGUUUAGUAGAGGUUUUAAUGCCAUGAGCUGAGUCAAAAUGAUUUAAAUAAUUAGUGCUUAAAUUGCAAUUUUUUUCUUUAUAAAAAAAAUUGGUGAAUGAGAAAUUUUUAUUAAUAGCUAUGAAAAUGACAUUUUUAUAACCGUUUUUGAACUCUAUUACAAAGUCAAAUCCUACUCUAAUUUAACUUUUUUUAUUUUUUUUAUUUUUUAAAACCCUUCAUUUGGUCAACCAAGUUUGUAGUUCAAUUCUUUUUCAAAUACUUAGGAAAUUUUCCGUUUUGCUCAUAAGGAAUUUCUCUGCCUUAUUUUAAUUAUGUUUAUCGAUUACAAGUUUAGCCAUUUUGAAAUGUUCAAAUGUUAGACAAUACAGAAAAAAAAAGGAAAAUACAAAAAAAAAAAUUAAGGAAAAUAUUGCAGAGAUUUUGCACGUAUUCUACGUAAGAAAAAAAAACUAUUGGAAGAAAUGCUAGUGAUAUUUUUCUUUUUUACAAUAACCUAGUGAUUGGUUGCGAAGGGAGAAAUUUUAUUUUAUCUUGAAAGAAGGGGAGAAAUAAUUUGUUAGCUGGAAUAGAAUAUUGGACCUCCAAUAAAAUAACCUUUUAGCUUCUCAACUCAUAUAGACUGAGAUAUCUGGGCAUUUCUUUAUAUUUUAUUCGUGAUUUUUAUACAUGAGAAAUGAGAUUUUUCUUUUAUCAAGAGUAAAAUAUAUUUUUUUUGUCAAGUAAUUUAGUGCCUAGAAUUUAUCUUUUUUAAGGUGAAUAAAUGAGGAGUCCGAGAUUCCAAUCCCGACCCUUAUAUACAACAAUGCAUCUCCUUAUUAACUGAGCUAUGUUCACAGGGACGUAAAAUGUGAUCUUUAACUAUAAUACAAAGGUUCUAAAAAAAAAAACUAUAGUAUAAAGGUUCUUUUUUUACUACAAUUUUCAAUAUUGCAGUAUUUUAAUAAUGGUGGACGGACCUUUAUUAUUAUUUUUCAAAUUUUAAUCAAAUAUUAUAAUUUUUCUUCUCUAAGGUCUAAUCAUCUCCACAAGAGUUCAAGCCCGAGACUUGGUAUAGUUGUUGUUCCUUUUCUCUACUACCCUUUCAUCUUGUUUUUCUUCGUUUCAAUUGUGGUUUUACUUUAAAUUGUUACCAUCACUUGUGAUUGUUUUUGGUUAUUGAUUGUCUCUGACCAUUGCUACACACAUAAUAGUUUAUUGGUUUGUGUGUUUUGAUUCGAAUUCGCAACACUUCUCUCACUUGCAACGACUCUAUCUCUCUUUCAUUCCUAGUCACCGUCCACCACUCUCUAUCUUCAACUUGGUUCACCAUCGUCCAUUACCAUGUCAUCAUCACAUCAGUUAUCAUCACACAACCGUUCACCACCCUCAUUUUUCAGAUCGACUCUUCGUCUAGAUCUCUCUGUCUCUCUCUCUCUCUCCCUCUCUCUCCCAUCAAUGUUAUCUCACCAUUUCGUUCGUCCAACAUUACACUUGCGUCUCUAUCUCUCGUUUACCACAGCUGUGAUUAUCCCCAUUGUAACACCCAAGACUGAUGAGAGCGGGGAGUGGUCGCCGGUGCACAAGGCACGACAAUGAGCGGCUCCCGAUAGCUUAUAGACGAACCGAAUUACAUCAGAAUGAGAGGGAUCCCGAGGCUGUGGAAGUAUGCAUAGUUGAAGGCACGCUUAUAGGAAUUGUUUGGUACUACCUAUAUCAACAACAUACAUCUUCUUUUUGGAAACCCAAUCCACAAGAACUCCACAAUUAAGCGUGCUUGACUUGGAGUAGUCUUUGGAUGGGUGACCUACUGGGAAGUUUCUCGAUAAGCGUGCGAGUGAGGACAAAACACGCAGAAAAGACUCGUGUUGGUUGGUAGGGUCAGUCGGCAAUGCUUAAAGUCGUCUGGGAUGUUACACCCAUCGUAGUUUUUUCUAGUCAAAAUGAGAAGUAAGUAGAAGAAGAUGGGUAAAUGAGAAGGAAUGCGAAAAAUUGCAGAGAAUGAAUGGUGGUCGAAGAAGACGGGAGUGGAGGCACGGUCGUAUUCAUAUUUUUUGUUCCGUCGUUGAUUCUCUCUCACUCUCUUGUUUGGAUCUCUCUCAUCGAUGGCGAUUUAGUGGUGGUGAGGAAAACGAUGAUUUGAGGAUAAAAGAGAAGAGAAGAUGGAUAAGAAUGAUAUGUAGUCGAAAUUACCCAUUUGCGCUUGUUUUAUGGUUUAAAUAUCUUUUUGCAAAAAAAAAAUUCCCAAAUAAAAUAUCAUUUUUCUAUCCCAAAAAAAAAAAAAAUCUCAUUUUUCAAAAAAGUAACAUUACUUCUCUUCCCAUUAUUUUAUUGUUUAUUAAAUCCACAAUUUUGCUAUAAAUAUCAAGGUCCAUCUUUCCCUCAACAAAAAAUUAAGGUCCACCUUAACAAUUUUUGUUUUCGGAAGAAUUGGUAAUAUGCAUGGUUCAUUUCAAUAGCGUGUAACAAAAUACUUUCAAAGAAGAAUAGAGGUAAACAAUUUCUAAGAUAUAGUUUAUGAAUUUGCAUUUACCGGUGAGAGACCUUUGACCAAAUCCCCACCGUGCUCGAAUAAUGGCGUAUAGGAACUGCAGAUUGUAAAAUUCAUGUUACUUUCUAAGGUGCUUGAGAAGAAGAACAUAUAUGAAAUAUAAUAAUAAACAAGAUAUUUCAAUUCUUUAACGGUUUCUUUUCUUCAUUUCUUUAACCAAUCUGCCCAAGGAUCAUCUGAAAUAGUAUUUUAUUAAUAAUAAAACAGAAAUUUUGCAGAAAAUUACCAUUGCUUUUGCUUUGAAUCACCAAUAUUGUUAUGGUUUUAAUGUUUAACAAAGACCAUGGUUAAGUUUGUCCAUUACUAAGUCAAAAGUUAUGACACUACUAAUAGAAGGCAUGUUUAAUGUCUGAUACCAACACGACAUUAGGUUGCUUCCCUUCAUUCGAUCGUAUUGAGUUUACUCCCAAGUUUCAGUGCAAUUGUUUUUGCAAAUACUCAGGAAAUUGUUAGCUUUGUUCAUAAGGAAAUUAAUAUCAAGCAGUCACAUUCACUUGCAUAAGUAAUUUUUUAAGAAUUGUUAUAUGACGUAGUUUAGUUAUCUCAUUUCAACAGCGUGUAACAAAAAAAAAUUCAAAGAAGAAUUCGGAACCGGUUAACAAUAUCAAAGUUUAUUAAUAAAAACGUAUAUGCAAUUUCUGUUUCUGUUCUUUAUAUCUGAAGUCUAUGUGUAGGGAAAUUUAUAAAUUAUAACAUUACGUAAAGCCCAAGGAUCAAUUAAAACAAAAAAUUUGUAGAAAUAUAACAUGGAUUUGACCUGAAGUUUACAAAGAAAUAUGCAUGGGCCUGUUUGAAUUGUCUAUAUACCGACAUAAUUAUAAGUUUUGUGAGACUAUUUGAGAAAUCUAUAAAAACAGCUUUUGACAAUUUUCACGGGCUUUUCUCGGCUUAUUUUCAAGAAAAAAGAAGAGAAUACGUUUAAAUAAUCAUAUAAUCUUAGUUUAUUUAAUUUAUUUCAUGAAGUCUAGGAAUCUUCACAUAAUUCUCUUGAGAUGUUACGAACAACGAAUUGGUACUUGGGUACCGGCUCGUGGUACUUUUGCAAAUUGGUUUGCACCAAUUUCCCUUGUAAUUUGUAGGAACUGCUACACCGAUGAAUCAAGUCAAGUGAGUGAAGUUCAAAGAAAGAGGAAGAAGAUGUUGAGUAGAAGAUAAAAGAAAGGAAUAUGUCUAGUACAGCAAAUAAAUUCUGUAGGAAAACAUCUUUGAAGCUUGGAGGAAGAGAACGCCUCUUGCAAAAUAACACUUAUAAAAAAGAACAAAAACGACAUAAAAGUGAAUAUAAAAAAAAAAAUAUUGGGAAGUGGGAACUAGUUUGUUACCGCUUGCUACUAUAAUUCUUCUACUUGUUCGCAAUAUUAAAAUAAUUUACUAUACUUAAUUGGGCAGUAUUAUAGUACUACCGACCAACGAGUACCAAAGCUCUAUAGUGUAACACUCUAAUCGUUGUUUUAUUUAUUUUUGAUUUAUUUAGAGUCUAUUAUGUGAUUUUAAAUAAAUUUGGUGAUUUAUGUGGUGUGAUAUACUUUAUAUAGUUUAUUUUUAUAAUAAUUGGAUUAAGUGAGAAAUAACUAUUAUUUUGGAGUUUGGGGAGUUAUUUAAUAUUUAAUAGAAUUAAGGGGAGCUAAAUGAAAAUAAAGGGAGUUAAGUAAAUGGGAAGUUAGGAAAUAGAGGUCAGAAGCUUUAUACGUGAAAACUGUCAAGUUGGAAGAAAAGGGAGAGAAGAGCAAGUUAGGCCAAGGAACCAUUUUUGCUGUGCAUUUCUUCUGCAAAUUUAAGGUAAGGGUGAGGUUUACUUCAAUAGUAUAGUUAUUAAUUUCUGAUUGUGAGUUUAACAGGUUUUGGUGAGAAUUGAGGAAUUGGGUAUAAGAUGAAUUAAUGGUUUUUGGGGUAGAUAUUGCUGUUCUGAUGUUAGAAUUAGGUUAUGGUUGCAUAGAACACUUCAUUGCCUAUCUGUAAACUAAUUUGGGGAGUGAUUUGAAGAAAAAUGGGAUUUUGGGGAAAAACCUGUUUUCUGCCCGUACAGAAGUUCAUCGCUCGCCUCGCGAGUAGCCUUACUCGCCAUGGCGAGUGACCAACUUCAUAGCUCGCCUCGCGAGCAGACCAACUCGCCGUGGCGAGCAACCCAGUUCAAAACUUGAUUUUCAAAUUGUUGUUAUAAGAUGUUUUUGGGAUAGUUUAAUGUGCCUAAAUGAUUUUAAAGAGGACUGAAGCAAGUUUUAGAUUAAAAAGAUGAAUAGGGAGCUUAGAAUUGAAUUUUGAGUGAGAAAAAUGUCAAAACUCUCGAGAGCACCUUAUUUUCACUCGCCUCGAGUUCGCCUUGAACUCGCCAUGGCGAGUAACCUGUUUUGUGAACUCGCCAUAGCGAGCAGAUGUGCUCGCGAGGCGAGCUACCUAGUUUUGUGUGCUGAUUGUAUUUAUAUGAAUGGUAGUGAUUGAUGUUGAUGUUUUGAGCAUAGUUAUGUUUAAUUGUGCAUUGUUCUGGAUUGUUGGAUCACUGUUUGAAGAUAUUGCUGAUGGCUGUAAUGUAUGCUAUAUUUAUUGAAUCAUACAUGUUGUAUAAAUUGGAGUCAUAUGAAGAAUGUAUGCAUGGUCAAGUUGUAUGUAGAUAUACACGAGUGGGUCCAUUGCAUAUGCAUAAACAGCGGGAGGACUCAUGUCCUGGAGCACUAGUUGUUCACAGCGGCGAGAGCUUCGGUCCUGAUGAAUGCUUUAACCAUUCAAAAGAGGUGAGGGCUUCGGUCCUGUUUGGUACCACAUGCAUAAUUGCAUUUAUUGAGGAGUCUUAGUGGUGUCGUCAUGUCAUGCAUGAGUCCUUGUUGUUGGUUGUGAUUGUUAUAUUGAUGAUGAUGAGGAUGUUGUUGAUGAAUAUAUAUAUUUAUACAUAUAUUAUGAUGAAUUGAUUUGAUGAUGAAGUUGUUGCUUUGUGAAAUAUAUAUUUAUAUUUACAAGAUGAUGUAUUGAUGUUUAAUAGGGUGUUAGAUUCAAUUGAUGAUUUUAAUAUCUAUAUUUUAUUGUUGUGAAUCUCACCCCUUCUGCUUGAAAAUGUUGCCCUUCCUAUGGGUAACUUGCAGGUGAUCCUGANAUGAAUCGAGUCAAGUGAGUGAAGUUCAAAGAUAGAGGAAGAAGAUGUUGAGUAGGAGAUAAAAGAAAGGAAGAUUUCUAGUGCAACAAAUAAAUUCCGUAGGAAAACCUCUUUGAAGCUUGGAGGAAGAGAAACGUCUCUUGCAAAAUAUAUAACAAUUAUAAAAAAGAACAAAAACGAAAUAAAAGUGAAUAUAAAAAAAAUAUUUUGGGAAGUGGGAACUAGUUUGUUACCGCUUGCUACUAUAAUUCUUCUACUUGGUUCCAAUAUGAAGAUAACUUAGUAUACUUAAUUAGGUAGUAUUAUAGUACUACCAACCAACGCGAAUUGCAAAUUAUGUGACUAUGGGCUAGACUUAGGAGAAUUGACUCUUAUAGCCUUUGAACAAUUUCCGGGUUGAAAUAUUGUUAAUAUGAUUUAUUUUAAAUUUUAACUCGCCUUCGGCACAUUUUUCGUUCUCUCCAUAGACAAAAAUUUGCUGCUAUUUGGUUAGGAUGUCUUUACAAUAUCAUUUCCUACUAUUGUAUCCUUUUACCUUUCCAAUUGGAAUUCCUAUACAAAUUCGCUUGUUAUCUGCAGCAAAAGAUCAGCUUUCAGGUUCAUGAAAUUUCAUAUCUUUCUUAUAAGUAUGAAAUUCUGGAAAUCUUAUACCAGUGUGUUUGCUAUUUUCUGAUUUUGGGAUUUGUUUCCGAUUCUGAUAUGGCUUGUUCAUGAAGUUUCAUAUAUUUCUUAUUAAGAGUAUAUAUGAAGUCAUUGUUUAUUUAUCUUCUGCAUUUUCUUUUUCAGUAAUCCAUGAUUCUUGCAUCCAUUUAAAAAAGGCUCAUUUACAAGAACUAGGGUUUACUGAAUAAAUGUUUCCCACAAUAUUCUUUGCAUAUUAAUAGAACAUGUAUAAUAUUAGAAAUAUCUUGAACUCAAGGUAUUAGCGUUAUGUAUGAUCUUACAAACAUCAUUCUAGAAACUUCAAUGAUGUUAUCUAAAAUCGACAACUUCUAGAAACAAAUCAAAUAACAUAAUCCAAAUUUUAUUUAACAAAAAACAAUGAUUCCAUAUAUAUUACAAUAAGAGUACUGCUAUUUGUUACAAAUGACUUGUACAAGAGAAGAAUGCAUGAAAAAAGGAUACUUCAGUACUUCACCAAUCCGGCCGACCAUACCUAAGAGAUUGGAUCGUUAUUAUCAAACUUCUGUUAUAACAAAAAACAAUGAUUCCAUAUAUAUUACAAAAAGUGUUAUAUACUGCCCCGUAGAUUUCUUGAGUUUAUUAUCAAACUUCUGUUAUAACAAUACACAUUUUUCUUACAUAAUAAUCUACUACUUCUCUAGUACAUAAAUCAUAUUUUUACCAGGCUUAGACAGAGUCCUCCAAUAGUAGAUUGAGUUAAUGAUAUCUGAAAACAGUGAAAAUUGCAAACCUAUGUACAAAAGUAUUGGGAGGAAAGAAAAUACUGAAAUGAAACCAGGAACCCACGUCGAACCAUGGUAGUAUACUAUAAAGAAGUUAGUACUUAAUGCUACCAUCAUGCUUGUUACGGAGAUAAAUAAUGUGACCAAUCCACAUAUUAGCUUUAAAGGCAAUGAUUUAUAGAAGUCAUACUCUCCAUAACGCGAGACAAGAAUAGACAAGAAAAUCAAUAUCGCAGUCGCAGAUGAGAUGAAUGCAGAUGCAUCUGAUAUUGCAAACACCAAGAAUGAUGUUUUAUUCAAAUAGUGUGGUUUUCCAGAGUCAUCGGUACCGCCUGGUAAAGUAGUUGCAGCAGCAAACACUCCGGUAGCAAUGACAGUUGAAAUUAGCAUGCAAGACUCGGCCGUUUUUUUCAUCCACGACUCUGCAUUUUCUCUUAGUGUUUCAUGCUCAAUUGAGAAUAGCUCUUGUGCAGUAAAGCCUUCAGAGUUUCUCAUCUUUAUCUGUGCAGGCAACAUUAUCUUCUUUACUUUCUGUCACAUGAAAAUGUAUAUAUGUUAGUAAAAUACAUACAGAUAUGUAAAAAAUUUAUAUUGCUAUUGACACAGUGACAAACACAUACUCAAUUAAGAGUUUUAUUUAUAGUGGAAUGGAAUAGGAUAAGUGUGGAAGUAGCUCGCUUUUAAUUUCUCAAUAAAAUGAAUAAAAAAGGGUUGCAUUGCAUGUACCUCAAACCAUAGUAACUCGACGCACAUUUGAAAAGCAGCUCCAGAAACCAAUUCAAGUUGAUUUCGUGGUGCUAAUUUUGCAGCCAAGUGCAAUAGUGUGUUUCUGUCAUCAUCAUUUUCAUAUGUCACUAUGAUACCCUUUAUAUGCCCUAUUUGAUGUACCAGAUUGAAGAUACUAGCAUGCCGAUGCAAAACAGCUAUGUGUAAUAUAGUUCGGUUUUUGCUAUCCACAUCCCAUAUCAAGCUAGGAUAAACACUGAGAAGCUCUGAUAAGAAUCCAAAAUUUCCAACUUCAGCAGCAUCAAAUAUUAGUUGAGAAGGUUCAUUUAGGAUUUUGUUUAACUCCUCCUUUGAGGAGUAGUGUUUUUCAAGAAUCGUGGUCCAAAGAAAUUUAACCAACUGGAAAACCACGUGAUUUUUCAUGCCUGCAAUACGAAAUAUGGUUACUUAAGUUAACGAAACCAAUGUAAAAGAAUUUUAAAAAAAUAAAAGUUAAUGUAAGGAUUUACCAGGAUUGGUCAUGAUGGGAUUAUGAUCAUGUUCAGGACAAUGACAACCGGAAUCCAAAGGCAUUCGAUUUUGAGCCAAGAGAUGCAAAGCUGUCUCUUUAUUCACAUCACGUGCAAAAGCUAGUGCAUUCCUACCUAUUAACAUUUUUAAGGCUAAGUCUGCAAUUGGAGAAAAUUAUAUUGAUCAAUAUUUCUGCAAAUGAGAAGUUGUGGAAAUAUCCUUUGUUAUCUAUGGUGGACUGAUGAUGGCAAAUCGCUCAAAACUUAGACAACAACUGAAGUUGCCACCUUUAAAUAGACCUGAACUUACUUAUAGCUGAAACAGUGAUCUAAUCGGUGUUGACUGUUUAGUGGACAAAGCCAAUACGAAACUAAUAUUAGUUGUGUAUUAAGGCAUUAAUAUUUGUUUGUCUAGGAGGGUUCGGUAGCUCAACUGGUUUGAGCUAAAUGUUAAGGAGUUGGAGGUUCCGACCAAUUUAAAGACCAAUUUGCAUAAUGUAUAUUAACUAUUAGUCUCUAAUGUUAGCAACCAAUAUGACAGCUUUUUUAAUUUCAACUUUCAGUAAUACUUACCAUAGAUGCCAGUGUAGAUACAAGCAAAGAACAAUAACUCCCAGUCCUCAGCAUCAAAACGAUGUAUGGUUUUAUCAUAUAGAUGCCAUGUCAUUUUGCAUCUUCCUUGCAGAGCAGCAUACUGAAUAGGAGUAUAUCCUUUUCCACCCCUUUUUACAGGUAACUGUGAGUUCCUAUCUAACAUUAAGUCAACAAUUUCCAUGUUUCCAGCUGCAGCAGCAAAGCAAAAAGCAGUGUUUCCGUUG